AUCUUUUUAGCUUCAGAUUGCAACCCUCGGUCACUGACAAAGCAUAUACCAAACCUGGCAUCCUCAAGAAAUGCCCCCCUAAUCUCCAUCAAAGAUAACAAAGGAGGGUCCAUAAGGUUAGGUGAAUUGGUGAGCCUAAAAACAGCUGUGGCUAUUGGAAUAAAGCAGAGGUCAGAGGAAGCAGUAUCAACACGACAGUAAAUGAACAUAUCUGAUGCCCUUUCUUAGUGUAGUGGGGGAGGUCACUUGUCCACUGUGUAGCUGGAGUAAUUUAUCAGAGUUUGACUAUUUAUCACAAUUUGAUUUUUGGACAGCAUAAAAGCAGGCUGCGUAAACACAACAUGGCACAAAGUAAAGAAAAACUCAGAAGCCACUCAAAGCAAACGCCAACCUCAGCCUGGCUCCUCAACAGUUCAUUAUCUCUCUUUUUCUUUCUUCUUUUUAUCUGUCCUCUUUCUAAUUAAAGGUAGUAUUUUAUUUGGUUUGUUUUAACCGAACAGGUCAAUUUCAAGCUGUUAAGAAUGAGACAAGCUUGGUGAUCUCCUAAAAAAUCUCCGCAGGAGCAUAGAGUUGGAAAAAGCUAGGAAAGGGGAGGAAUUGCCAGAUAAAAUUUGGAUGAAGGAGAAUGUCUGAAAGAGAAAAUCUUGAUGAAGAUGAUAGCAUUAAAAGACCUCUUAGAAGAAAUCCAUUGGUUCCACUCCAGCUGAUCUUUGCUAGAAUCUGGUGCUAGGCUGCUUGAGUGAGAAGUUCCCAUGGCUGCCACAGAGAGACCCUCCAAUAGAACCUGCAGUAGGGAUUGAGAUCAGCAAUGUGCUAGUCCAGGAUUACUUUGAUAACGACUGAUUAGACUUACGACAUAAGCUAUAUCAGGUAUGGUGCACAAUAUUGCAUACAUCAAGCUUCCAAUUGCUUGAGCAUAAUGAACAUCUAAUGGCUUUUUCCCCUCUCUAGGGCUUUGUUAUUUACAUAAUCUCUUUCCCAUGACCAACGGAGUUGGCGCCGGAUUGUAAUUCUCCUUUCCAAACCUUUUAAGAACUGGUUUUAAAUAUUUUUCUUGGU